UGGGGAAUUUUGGACAAUGGGCGCAAGCCUGAUCCAGCCAUGCCGCGUGAGUGAAGAAGGCCUUCGGGUUGUAAAGCUCUUUCGGCCGGGAAGAAAUCGCAUUCUCUAAUAUAGGAUGUGGAUGACGGUACCGGACUAAGAAGCACCGGCUAACUACGUGCCAGCAGCCGCGGUAAUACGUAGGGUGCGAGCGUUAAUCGGAAUUACUGGGCGUAAAGCGUGCGCAGGCGGUUUUGUAAGACAGAUGUGAAAUCCCCGGGCUUAACCUGGGAACUGCGUUUGUGACUGCAAGGCUAGAGUACGGCAGAGGGGGGUGGAAUUCCUGGUGUAGCAGUGAAAUGCGUAGAUAUCAGGAGGAACACCGAUGGCGAAGGCAGCCCCCUGGGCCUGUACUGACGCUCAUGCACGAAAGCGUGGGGAGCAAACAGG
rnacentral:rRNA from 1 species